rnacentral:rRNA from 1 species
CCCUUAGAUGUUCUGGGCCGCACGCGUGCUACACUGAUGCAUUCAACGAGUUUCUUCCUGGUCCGAGAGGAAUGGGUAACCUUUUGAAAGUGCAUCGUGAUAGGGAUAGACUAUUGCAAUUAUUGGUCUUCAACGAGGAAUUCCUAGUAGACGUAGUUCGUCAGACUGCAUCGAUUACGUCCCUGCCCUUUGUACACACCGCCCGUCGCUCCUACCGAUUGAAUGCUCAGGUGAGCCAUUCGGACUUUCAUCAUGCUGGUUUCCAGUUUUGAUGAAGGAAAGUCUUGCGAACCUUAUCAUUUAGAGGAAGGAGAAGUCGUAACA